rnacentral:rRNA from 1 species
GAGGAAUAUUGCGCAAUGGACGAAAGUCUGACGCAGCAACGCCGCGUGGGUGAUGACGCAUUUCGGUGUGUAAAACCCUGUCAGUGGGGAGGAAACGUAUCGGGAGUAACUGCCCGAUGCCUGACGGUACCCGCAGAGGAAGUCCCGGCUAACUCCGUGCCAGCAGCCGCGGUAAUACGGGGGGGACGAGCGUUGUUCGGAUUUACUGGGCGUAAAGGGCGCGUAGGCGGGCCUUCAAGUCGGAUGUGAAACCUGGCGGCUUAACCACCAGCCUGCAUUCGAUACUGUCGGUCUUGAGUAUGGGAGAGGAGAAUGGAAUUCCAGGUGUAGCGAUGAAAUGCGUAGAUAUCUGGAAGAACACCAGUAGCGAAGGCGGUUCUCUGGACCAAUACUGACGCUAAAGCGCGAAGGCUUGGGGAGCAAAC